CAGUGCAGAGCUGCGGGCAGAUGAAGUGCACGUGGGCGUCGAAGCCUCCAGCAGUCAGAAUCAAGCCUUCGCCAGCGAUCACCUCGGUGUUCACGCCCACAAUCAGGUUCGGCAUCACGCCCUCCAUCACGUCAGGGUUGCCGCCCUUACCAAUGCCAGCAAUGAGACCGUCCUUGAUACCCACAUCAGCCUUGUAGAUGCCCGUGUAGUCCACAACCAAAGCGUUGGUGAUGAUCGUAUCCACCACCUGCGCUGACGUCUUUCCUGACGCCUGGCCCAUGCCUUCACGCAG
rnacentral:sRNA from 1 species